rnacentral:rRNA from 1 species
GUGCCAGCCGCCGCGGUAAUACGUAGGGUGCAAGCGUUAAUCGGAAUUACUGGGCGUAAAGCGUGCGCAGGCGGUUUCGUAAGACAGUGGUGAAAUCCCCGGGCUCAACCUGGGAACUGCCAUUGUGACUGCAAGGCUAGAGUGCGGCAGAGGGGGGUGGAAUUCCGCGUGUAGUAGUGAAAUGCGUAGAUAUGCGGAGGAACACCGAUGGCGAAGGCAAUCCCCUGGGCCUACACUGACGCUCAUGCACGAAAGCGUGGGGAGCAAACAGGAUUAGAUA